CGCGUUUUUGGAGGAAAGCAGGGGAUCGCAAGACCUUGCGCUUUUGGAGCGGCCGAUGUCUGAUUAGCUAGUUGGUGGGGUAAAGGCUUACCAAGGCAACGAUCAGUAGUUGGUCUGAGAGGACGACCAGCCACACUGGGACUGAGACACGGCCCAGACUCCUACGGGAGGCAGCAGUGGGGAAUUUUGGACAAUGGGCGAAAGCCUGAUCCAGCCAUGCCGCGUGAGUGAAGAAGGCCUUCGGGUUGUAAAGCUCUUUCAGUCGAGAAGAAAAAAUUGCGACCAAUAAUCGCAAUUCAUGACGGUAUCGACAGAAGAAGCACCGGCUAACUACGUGCCAGCAGCCGCGGUAAUACGUAGGGUGCAAGCGUUAAUCGGAAUUACUGGGCGUAAAGGGUGCGCAGGCGGCCUUGUAAGUCAGAUGUGA
rnacentral:rRNA from 1 species